ACUCAAAUGAAUUGACGGGGACCCACACAAGCGGUGGAGCGUGUGGUUUAAUUCGAUAGUAAGCGAGGAACCUUACCAGGGUUUGACAUCUCGGGAAUUUUCUGGAAACAGAGAAGUGCCGCAAGGAGCCCGAAGACAGGUGCUGCAUGGUUGUCGUCAGCUCGUGCCUUGAGGUGUUCGGUUAAGUCCGUAAACGAGCGCAACCCUCGUCCUGUGUUGUAUUUUUCACAGGAGACUGCCUUGCAUAACAAGGAGGAAGGUGGGGAUGACGUCAAAUCAGCAUGGCCCUUAUACCCUGGGCGACACACGCGCUACAAUGGCCGGUACAACGGGCAGCCAAGGAGUAAUCCGGAGCGAAUCCCAAAAACCGGUCUAAGUUCGGAUUGGGGGCUGCAACUCGCCCCCAUGAAGCUGGAAUCGCUAGUAAAUGCUUAUCAGCCACGGAGCAUUGAAUAUGUUCCUGGGUCUUGUACACACCGCCCGU
rnacentral:rRNA from 1 species